CGGUAAUACGGAGGAUGCGAGCGUUAUCCGGAUUUAUUGGGUUUAAAGGGUGCGCAGGCGGACUGUUAAGUCAGCGGUAAAAUAGCGGGGCUCAACCCCGUCGAGCCGUUGAAACUGGCAGACUUGAGUUGGCGAGAAGUAUGCGGAAUGCGCGGUGUAGCGGUGAAAUGCUUAGAUAUCGCGCAGAACUCCGAUUGCGAAGGCAGCAUACCGGCGCCAUACUGACGCUCAGGCACGAAAGUGCGGGGAUCGAACAGGAUUAGAUACCCUGGUAGUCCGCACAGUAAACGAUGAAUGCUAGCUGUCCGGGUCGAAUGAGACCUGGGUGGCACAGCGAAAGCGUUAAGCAUUCCACCUGGGGAGUACGCCGGCAACGGUGAAACUCAAAGGAAUUGACGGGGGCCCGCACAAGCGGAGGAACAUGUGGUUUAAUUCGAUGAUACGCGAGGAACCUUACCCGGGCUCAAACGGGAUACGGCGGCUCCGAGAGACCGGAGCCUUCCUUAGGGACGUAUUCCGAGGUGCUGCAUGGUUGUCGUCAGCUCGUGCCGUGAGGUGUCGGAUUAAGUUCCUUAACGAGCGCAACCCCUGCGUGCAGUUGCUAACGGUGUAAGCCGAGGACUCUGCACGGACUGCCGGCGCAAGCCGCGAGGAAGGCGGGGAUGACGUCAAAUCAGCACGGCCCUUACGUCCGGGGCGACACACGUGUUACAAUGGCCGGUACAGAGGGUAGCUACCUGGUGACAGGAUGCCAAUCUCGAAAGCCGGUCUCAGUUCGGAUUGGAGGCUGAAACUCGCCUCCAUGAAGUUGGAUUCGCUAGUAAUCGCGCAUCAGCCAUGGCGCGGUGAAUACGUUCCCGGGCCUUGUACACACCGCCCGUCAAGCCAUGGGAGCCGGGGGUACCUGAAGUGCGUAACCGCGAGGAGCGCCCUAGGGUAAAACUGGUGACUGGGGCUAAGUCGUAACAAGGUAGCCGUACCGGAAGGUGCGGCUG
rnacentral:rRNA from 1 species